UCCUCCCUCUUUCUUCGUGCUUAACACAUGCAAGUCGAACGGAAAGGCUCCAGCUUGCUGGAGUACUCGAGUGGCGAACGGGUGAGUAACACGUGGGUGAUCUGCCCUGCACUUCGGGAUAAGCCUGGGAAACUGGGUCUAAUACCGGAUAGGACCGCACUUUGGUGUGUGUGGUGGAAAGGUUUUUCUGGUGUGGGAUGAGCUCGCGGCCUAUCAGUUUGUUGGUGGGGUAAUGGCCUACCAAGACGGCGACGGGUAGCCGGCCUGAGAGGGUGGACGGUCACAUUGGGACUGAGAUACGGCCCAGACUCCUACGGGAGGCAGCAGUGGGGAAUAUUGCACAAUGGGGGAAACCCUGAUGCAGCGACGCCGCGUGGGGGAUGAAGGCCUUCGGGUUGUAAACUCCUUUCGCUAGGGACGAAGCUUUUUGUGACGGUACCUGGAGAAGAAGCACCGGCUAACUACGUG
rnacentral:rRNA from 1 species